GCCUUCGUGGUGUAGUGAUCAGCAAGCUCGGUUUGUAUUUGAGAAGUCCGUGGUUCGAGUCCUGGCGAGGGAA
rnacentral:tRNA from 1 species